rnacentral:misc_RNA from 1 species
GAAUCGCGAUAGGAAUUGCGAAUUGCAGAAUUCAGUGAAUCAUCGUAACUUUGAACGCAAACUGCGCUUGGGGGUUGACCCCGAGCAUGCCUCUCUGAGUGUCGGUCAAACCAUCCUGUGGGUUUUCCCAGGGUAAUGAGAGUUCUUUGAUCUCUUCAAGUAUGAGUGGCAUCCGCAAGGGUGUGUGAUUUGCGACUGACGCUUUGUCACGAGCGAGUGGAGAUGAAAAUUUUCACAAGCGACUGAGUUUCACGAGUGAAUUGCACUUGCUCUACAGUGUAUGCAUUUGUCAUCUAUUUGUAUUUGGCAGUGCAGACACAGCUGUUCUGACCAUCGACCUCAGAUGAGGUAGGAUUACCCGCUGAACUUAA